GGUCCCGUAGCUCAGCGGAUAGAGCAACCGCCUCCUAAGCGGUAGGUCGGUGGUUCAAGUCCACCCGGGAUCGCCA
rnacentral:tRNA from 2 species